rnacentral:rRNA from 1 species
UAAAAUUUAUAAAAUUAGGUAGUAAAGAAAUUUCUGAAACCUAAAGAAUUUGGCGGUAUUUUAAAUAAUUGGAGGAACCUGUUAUUUAAUUGACAAUCCACAUCACAUCUUUCCUAAAUUUUAUUUGUAUAUCGUCGUUAUGAUAAUAUUUUAAAAUUAUAAUCAAUGUUAAUAAAUUUCCAAAAAUCAGAUCAAGGUGCAGUAUAUUUAGGUUAUAAUGGGUUACAAUAUAUAUAUAUAUAUAUAUGGAUAUAAACUUGAAAUUAUAUUGAAAGUGGAUUCAAAAGUAAUAUUAAAUUAAAAUGUUAAUUUGAUUAAUAAUUUAAAAUAUGC